rnacentral:rRNA from 1 species
CAGCAGCCGCGGGAAUACGUAGGGUGCAAGCGUUAAUCGGAAUUACUGGGCGUAAAGCGUGCGCAGGCGGUUAUAUAAGACAGAUGUGAAAUCCCCGGGCUCAACCUGGGAACUGCAUUUGUGACUGUAUAGCUAGAGUACGGCAGAGGGGGAUGGAAUUCCGCGUGUAGCAGUGAAAUGCGUAGAUAUGCGGAGGAACACCGAUGGCGAAGGCAAUCCCCUGGGCCUGUACUGACGCUCAUGCGCGAAAGCGUGGGGAGCAAACAGGAUUAGAUACCCCAGUAGUCCCUGUCUCUUAUAC